rnacentral:tRNA from 1 species
AUUCAAAUAUCUUAUAUAGAGUAUAAUACUGAAGUUGUUGUUGAAAUAAUUAAUUUAUUUUUGAAUA